rnacentral:ncRNA from 1 species
ACACAACUCUGGAGAGUCCCAUUUAAUUGGGCGCCGAAGGUGCAAGGAGGCAAUCCUCCAAAAUCUCUCAGGCAAAAGGACAGAGCUU